UACAGAGGUGGCGAGCGUUGUUCGGAUUUACUGGGCGUAAAGGGCGCGUAGGCGGCCAGGUGUGUGGGGUGUGAAAUCUCCGGGCUCAACCCGGAAAGUGCGCCCCAAACUGCCUGGCUCGAGUCUGGGAGGGGGGAUCGGAAUGCAGGGUGUAGCGGUGAAAUGCGUUGAUAUCCUGCAGAACACCGGUGGCGAAGGCGGAUCCCUGGAACAGAACUGACGCUGAGGCGCGAAAGCAGGGGGAGCAAACAGG
rnacentral:rRNA from 1 species